UCUUUUAUAUUUUUUUUUAUUGAAAGCGCUUAUAGGAAAAAAGUACUAUUAUUUUAAAGUUAGUGCAUUUUUAAACUUUUGCGGAAAUACUUUUUUUUUGAUUAACACAAAAACAAAUGUGACGUCAAGCUUGCUUUUAAAUUGAGUGAAACAGCCGUGCUUAAACAUUAACGAGAAUUGUUUUGUGUCAGUGCCAGAAAUUGAAUGCACACCAGCAAAUUUCAUAAUUCAUAAAAAUAUUAUGAAUCCAUUAGCAAAUAAAGUUGUAUCCUUGAAAGAUAUGCUGGUAUUAUUGGCAAAAUGGGCAAGCAUUGAAGUGCAACUUGGUGAACUACAAAACACAUUAAAUUCAGUUAUAAAAAUUUGAGUAACAAAGAUCAAUUAUUUGGCACAAAUUGGAGUUAAAGACGAAGGAGAUUGUAUAUGUUAUUUACUAAGAAUAGUUUUUUAAAAUGGCCUAGCUGUAAAAUUAAACUAUGCAGGGAGAGGACAAAAAUUGGAAUAGGAAAAAUGUUGAUUGCAUAUGUUGCUAUUGAAACUGUGAAGUCAAAUAGACAUGGCUUAUACAGACAUGUGAUAGAGAUAGUGGAAGAAAAAAUAGAAAUCGUGGGCACCAAAUAUCAUAAGCUAAACACGAUUUAAUAAAAGUAGCUCAGCCAAUAUCGAAACUACUCUAUAAAUUUUAUAGUGAAUUUUUUUAUUUAAAACUCAA